CACGUAUUUAGCCGGAGCUUCUUUUUCAGGUACCGUCACUUUCUUCCCUGCUGAUAGAGCUUUACAUAACGAAUUACUUCUUCACCCACGCGGCGUCGCUGCAUCAGGGUUCCCCCCAUUGUGCAAUAUCCCCCACUGCUGCCUCCCGUAGGAGUCUGGGCCGUGUCUCAGUCCCAAUGUGGCCGCCCACCCUCUCAGGCCGGCUACUGAUCGUCGCCUUGGUGGGCCGUUGCCCCGCCAACCAGCUAAUCAGACGCGGGCCCAUCCUGCACCGCCGGAGCCUUCCCCCGCCGCCCCAUGCGGGGCUGGCGGGCAUAUGCGGUAUUAGCAGCCGUUUCCGGCUGUUCGUCCCCCAGUGCAGGGCAGGUUCGCCCACGCGUUACCUCCACCCGUCCGCCACGUCGGGCACGCGCCGGCCUUCCGCUCCGAAAGCCUCAGCCUGCGCGCCCCGUUCGACUUGCAUGUGUUAGGCACGCCGCAGCGUUCAUCCUGCGCCAGGACUCAAACUCUAC
rnacentral:rRNA from 1 species